rnacentral:lncRNA from 1 species
UUUUUUUUUGUGAAAUUUGAGAAGAGAAGAGUCAAAACUCUACGUCAGGAUGCCUUACCGGAGCGAUGAAGAGACUGGGGAGUAAAAAGAAUUCCUAACUCUCCGAUAUAUAUAAUCCUAAAUGACUCAAAAUAUUUUUCUAGACACAACUCGGCCGCUAAAAACGAUCAAGCAGUGGGGCUCCUAAGGUCGGGGAAGGCUCUGAUUACCAACUUGUAACGCCCUCAAUGCGGCUAUAUCUCCCACGUGUCGAAGCAUGACUUAGAGGCAUAACCGCAUUGAAAGCAAUGUCGCAAGUGAGGUAAUCUUCACACAACCCAUGUAAUACAUAAGGGAAAGAGAUACAUAGUUGGCUUACAAUCGCCACUUCGCACAAUUACAUGAAUAAAGCAUUACAUCAUCCAGAUACAAUCAAGGUCCGACUACGGAACCAAAAUAAAAGAAGAACUCCACAUGCGACAAAGGUCCCUGAUCGACCCCAACUGGGCUCCAC